UUUGAUUAGUCAAGUAACAGAACAAAAAGUUGGCAUUCUGUAGAUGCUACAUAAUUCAUACAUUCAAUUUAAUUUCCCCUGCUGUUGCAAUCACCUGAUAGAAUUAGGCAUAAGUGUUCCCUUUAGCAAUUCUUUUGAACAAUUCAUACCAUAUAACAGUAAAUUAAAAGACCUUAGAAGUGAAAAAUUAAGAUAUCUGAAGAUAAAAGGCUUCAAAUUUAACACUCCAGGUCAAGAUGAAGUCUCCAAAAUCCCAAAUUAUAAAAUCUAUAAAUUCUGCUAAUAUUGGACAUAUAUAUGAAAUACAAACUCAGACAGAACAAAAAACUCAACUGUUUCAGCUUUCAUCACCAAAGAGGCGGCGAAGACGGGAAGCAAAGGCACCAGUGGGCUCACUAGCAGCUUCAGCAAGUAGACUUUGCUUGAUAUGGUUCAUUCGGUGAACGAGCCCUUCUU
rnacentral:lncRNA from 1 species